ensembl:lncRNA
CCGCGAGGUUGGCUGAUGCCUCCCCUGCUCUCUCUUGUACACAACCUCGCGACCCUUGGCACAGCCAGAGAAAACACAGUCUGCACGCAAUGCUGGGUCUGUGGCACAAUGAUUAACCCGUAAAUGUGCUGUCAAUCCGCUUCGUAGCCUGCAAAGCCCGCUGAGAGUUGGAGGGGGGCAGACGAGGUUCAUUUGUUUCAUGGCUCGUUUUGAGUCAGCGUAAAAAAGCGCAUGGCAGCUUCGUGCGUGACAGAAAGAUGGAUGACCGAGAGAUUUCCGCACGCAACAAUUGUUUUUCCCUAGUUUGGGCCAUCUUCAAGUCCAAAGAAAAGACAGAGGCAAACCCUCUCAGAUGAUCAUCCCUAAAACCUAAAACAUCUGCAUAGUAGGAGGUGUCAUUAGCUUUUUCAGGGUAACAAGUACUGCCCUAAGGGUUUACGUUACUCCAUAGAAUUGGUCAUAACAAAAGUGGUAAUACAGUAAUAACAUGGUAAUAAAACACAGUAAUAACAUAGUAUAAAAAGUAAUAACAUGUUAAUAAAUAAGUGUUGUGUGCUUUGGCAUUGCGUGUAUGAACAAUGGUGAUAUUGUCUCUCUCUCCCCUCCUGUCUCUGUUCAUGCAUGUUUUAUUUUGCUGAGAGUUCAAAGAAGACACUUCCAAACCUCUGGUAGCACAGACUGUUCUGUCUAGUGUUUACAGACUAGAAUAAAAGACUGAGAGAUGAGUGCACCAAUCUGACCUGUCACCUGAGUGGUUAAUUGCACUAACUACCAGUCUGUGUACAGGGGUUAGUUGACCUCCUCCAUAACAUUCACAAACAACAACACGCCCUCACACACAUGCAAACCCACUCACGAAAAAUUCCCUCACACUCACACACACAUACCUGGUUUGAAGGUGUGUGACAGGUGUUUGGUUGUUGCGUGCCAAAGAACUGAAGACUUCAGCUGCCUUUACAGUCAUUACUCAGAAAGGGAGAUUCUUCAAGGGAAUUUCAAUUUGCUGUGGGCUAAACAGUGUUUUGGUUAUGAUGUGAGCUCUGUAAAUGGACAUCCUGGAUGUAUGUGUGUGACCCU